rnacentral:rRNA from 1 species
UACCAGCACCCCGAGUGGUCGGGACGUUUAUUGGGCCUAAAGCAUCCGUAGCCGGUUCUGCAAGUCUUCCGUUAAAUCCACCUGCUUAACAGAUGGGCCGCGGAAGAUACUAUAGAGCUAGGAGGCGGGAGAGGCAAGCGGUACUCGAUGGGUAGGGGUAAAAUCCGUUGAUCCAUUGAAGACCACCAGUGGCGAAGGCGGCUUGCCAGAGCGCGCUCGACGGUGAGGGAUGAAAGCUGGGGGAGCAAACCGG